rnacentral:rRNA from 1 species
GCCUAAUUGCUAGCCCACCCAAACGAACCAAACUCACACUAUUCUCUAGUUUUUUUAAAAAACGACAAAACAAACCAUUUUUCCUCCUUAGUACGGGCGACGGAAAAGGAGUCCCUCAGGAGCAACAGAUCAAGUACCGCAAGGGAACGCUGAAAGAGAAGUGAAACAAAUUCAUUUAAGCCCAAAGAAGCAGAGUUAAACCCUCGUACCUUUUGCAUCAUGAUUAAGCUAGUAAAAUGAAGCAAAGAGCCCUUUAGUUCCGUACCCCGAAACUAGACGAGCUACUCCGAGACAGCCUAUUGCAGGGCAAACCCGUCUCUGUAGCAAAAGAGUGGGAAGAGCUCCGAGUAGAGGUGACAGACCUACCGAGCCUAGUAAUAGCUGGUUGCCUAAGAAAUGAAUAGAAGUUCAGCCCUCCCCCUGCCCCCGCCCCAACCCGUGAAUUUACCGCGAUGGCCCCGGAGAUAAGCGGAGGAGUUAGUCAAAGAAGGUUCAGCUUCUUUGAACAAAGAUACAACUUUUUUAGGAGGCUAAAGAUCAUAAGAAAGAAAGGGUCAAUUAUUCUAGUGGGCCUGAAAGCAGCCAUCUAAAAGAAAAGCGUUAAAGCUUAUGUUUUUCCCCGACCCCCGAAUCGUGAUGAUAUAAUCUUAUACCCCUAAACCUACUAGGCCGUUUCAUGCCCCCAUGAAAGAGACCAUGCUUGAAUGAGUAAUAAGAGGGUAAGACCCUCUCCCGGCAUAUGUGUAAGCUCGAGCAGGACCGCCCACCGACAAUUAACGGCCCCAGCCCUCAGAGGGAAAUGAGCCUUCAACCAACAGAUUAACUAGAAGAGCGCUCAGCAAGUCUAACCGUUAACCCCACACAGGAGUGCCACCCAGGAAAGACCUAAAUACAGAGAAGGAACUCGGCAAACACAAGCCUCGCCUGUUUACCAAAAACAUCGCCUCUUGCAAGUAGAAGAAUAAGAGGUCCUGCCUGCCCGGUGACCCAUAAAGUUAAACGGCCGCAGUAUCUUAACUGUGCGAAGGUAGCGCAAUCACUUGUCCCUUAAUUGGGGACCCGUAUGAAUGGCAAGACGAGGGCUUAGCUGUCUCCUCUGUUCCGUCAAUGAAAUUGAUCUCCCCGUGCAGAAGCGGGGAUAAUACCAUAAGACGAGAAGACCCUAUGGAGCUUUAGACAACCAAACGCCCCACAUAAGACAGCUUAAGAGAAAGAAGCUGCCCAUCUUAGUGACACUCCCCCGUUUUAUGUCUUUGGUUGGGGCGACCGUGGGGAAAAGAAAAGCCCCCAUGAAGACGUUAAAGACUUUCUUUUAUAACUAAGAGCCCACGACUCGAAGUAUCAGACACCUCUGACCCGAAUGAUCCGGCACACCCGCCGAUCAACGAACCGAGUUACCCUAGGGAUAACAGCGCAAUCCUCUCUUAGAGCCCCUAUCGCCGAGAGGGUUUACGACCUCGAUGUUGGAUCAGGACAUCCUAAUGGUGCAGCCGCUAUUAAGGGUUCGUUUGUUCAACGAUUAAUAGUCCUACGCGAUCUGAGUUCAGACCGGAGCAAUCCAGGUCAGUUUCUAUCUAUGCCUUGACCUUUUCUAGUACGAAAGGACCGAGAAGACGGGGCCCAUAUUACCGAUACGCCCCUCCCCCACUUGAAGAACACAAAUAAAGCAAGAAAGGGGACAAACCAGACAGACCCGCCGGAGACUACGGCAA